CCACCAGUGGCGAAGGCGUCUAACUAGGACGGGUCUGACGUNGAGGGACGAGNCCCUGGGGCGCCAACCGGAUUAGAUACCCGGGUAGUCCAGGGUGUAAACGCUGCUUGCUGAUGUUUAGCUGGGCUCCGAGCUCAGCUAGUGUCGGAGAGAAGUUGUUAAGCAAGCCGCCUGGGAAGUACGGUCGCAAGACUGAAGCUUAAAGGAAUUGGCGGGGGAGCACAGCAACGGGUGGAGCGUGCGGUUUAAUUGGAUUCAACGCCGGAAAUCUUACCGGAGGCGACGGUUACAUGAAGGCCAGGCUGAUGACCUUGCCUGAUUUUCCGAGAGGUGGUGCAUGGCCGCCGUCAGUUCGUACCGUAAGGCGUUCUGUUAAGUCAGAUAACGAACGAGACCCUCAUCCUUAAUUGCUACUGGCAACUCCGGUUGUCACGCACAUUAAGGAGACCGCUGGCGAUAAGUCAGAGGAAGGCGAGGGCAACGGUAGGUCAGUAUGCCCUGAAUCCUCCGGGCUACACGCGCGCUACAAAGGCCAGGACAAUGGGCUCCGACACCGAAAGGUGAAGGCAAUCUCGAAACCUGGUCAUAGUUCGGAUUGAGGGUUGCAACUCACCCUCAUGAAGCUGGAAUCCGUAGUAAUCGCAGAUCAACAUCCUGCGGUGAAUAUGCCCCUGCUCCUUGCACACACCGCCCGUCAAACCAUGCGAGUUGGGUUCAAGUGAGGAUGUAGUACUUUGCUGCGUUCAGACUUGGGCUUAGCAAGCGGGGUU
rnacentral:rRNA from 1 species